CUUAGGUAACACAGGAAACUCAGCACAGGAGCUGAUCCAGGAUGUCUGAUGCCUGAAUCUGUAAUUCCCACUGAGAUCGAACUUCCAGUGACUCCAGAAAAGGACGGCAGCAUGACCAUCCUUUCCUGUUCAGCCAAACACCUUAACUAGAAUUAUUCAAGUUUAAAGCAAAAUUUCAGCAGUAACUGAAAUGCUUGCAGAAUACACGAACAACAGCGCCCUCUGCACCUGAAACCCCUCCGGUUAUUAAACCCAGACGUUCCUACGUGCUGGAGGAGCCUUUAAUUUCAAUUACUGCUUUUUUCAGCUGCUGCAGUAAACAUCACACUGAACCAUGGGGGGGACCUGGUCAUGAGCAAAUCACAAACAGACUGUCUCGACUGGCAGAAAAUCAAGCACCAACAUUUCAUCAGUGGAGGAACUCUUCUCUCCAGAGAUUUCCUCCACCCUUUUGGUCAGUGCAUGAGGAUUGUGCCAGCAGCUGGAGAAACUGGGGACACCAAGAUGGUGAGGAAAGCUUGCUUUACUGAAACUAAAAGGAACUGUUUAAGUACUGCCAAAUACUUAUUGGGAAAAAGAGCAAGACACAGACCAUAAAAUUCUUGCAUCUGUUGACCAUUUAAUCUUUUUUUCUGUAAACAACAUAAUGUAGCACUGUAUAUUAUGAAAGAAAAAAGAAAUAAACUUCUACCAUGCAGCUGUAUGAGAACCCA
rnacentral:lncRNA from 1 species